UACGGGGGGGGCAAGCGUUGUUCGGAAUUAUUGGGCGUAAAGGGCUCGUAGGCGGUUUGUCGCGUCGGGAGUGAAAACUCAGGGCUCAACCCUGAGCGUGCUUCCGAUACGGGCAGACUAGAGGUAUGCAGGGGAGAACGGAAUUCCUGGUGUAGCGGCGGAAUGCGCAGAUAUCAGGAGGAACACCGGUGGCGAAGGCGGUUCUCUGGGCAUUACCUGACGCUGAGGAGCGAAAGCAUGGGGAGCGAACAGG
rnacentral:rRNA from 1 species